GACGAACCGUGCAAACGUUAUUCGGAAUCACUGGGCUUAAAGGGCGCGUAGGCGGGCUCGCCAGUCAGGGGUGAAAGCCCACGGCUCAACCGUGGAAGUGCCUUUGAUACUGCGAGUCUCGAGGGAGGUAGGGGCGUGCGGAACUUCCGGUGGAGCGGUGAAAUGCGCAGAUAUCGGGAGGAACACCAAUGGCGAAGGCAGCUCGCUGGGACGGUACUGACGCUGAGGCGCGAAAGCGUGGGGAGCAAACAGG
rnacentral:rRNA from 1 species